rnacentral:tRNA from 1 species
GCCCCCAUGGCGCAGUCGGUAGCGCACAUGCAUGGUAAGCAUGAGGUCGCCGGUUCGAUUCCGGCUGUGGGCU